AUUAAUUCGAUGCAACGCGAAGAACCUUACCUGGGUUUGACAUAUACCGGAAAGCUGCAGAGAUGUAGCCCCCGCAAGGUCGGUAUACAGGUGGUGCAUGGCUGUCGUCAGCUCGUGUCGUGAGAUGUUGGGUUAAGUCCCGCAACGAGCGCAACCCUCGUCCUAUGUUGCCAGCGGAUAAUGCCGGGGACUCAUAGGAGACUGCCGGGGUCAACUCGGAGGAAGGUGGGGAUGACGUCAAGUCAUCAUGCCCCUUAUGUCCAGGGCUUCACGCAUGCUACAAUGGCUGGUACAAAGGGCUGCAAAACCGCAAGGUCGAGCGAAUCCCAAAAAGCCAGUCUCAGUUCGGAUUGGGGUCUGCAACUCGACCCCAUGAAGUCGGAGUCGCUAGUAAUCGCAGAUCAGCAACGCUG
rnacentral:rRNA from 1 species